GAGUGAUUUGAAAGUCUCCAUGAAUAGUUUAAGUUUAUGGCCUGUCAGUCUGAGCACAGUCAAGGAUCCAGAACCAUACUUGUUCAAUACUUGUUUGUAGUUGGUACAGGACCAGGUUUAGGACAGAUAGAGUUGCCUGAAGUUGUCAUUUACAAGGCAGCAUAUUAUAUUAUUACCAUACAGAAGAAUACCUACUAUUAUUCUGUUACUGUUAAGUUGGUUGGUAACCUUGGUUAUUAUUAUGAUACAUUGCCUGGCAAGUCAGUAAAGACUAAAGGAGGCUGAUUUUUUACCUAGUAACAAACAUAUGGCAAGUUGGCAACAUUAGAGCAAGAGAACUCACUAAACAGUACAUGUAUUUUCCACCACUUGGUCAGUCACAGUCAGCGCCUCGGCAAUUUGCUUUUGUGAGGUUAUAAGUUCAGUGGCAUCUACAGUAUUUGCUUGUUCAAGUCUGUUGCUUUCUUUGCUUGACCAGAGACAUACAAAGUUUAAUUUAACUUAUGGAAUACUUUUAGUCAAAAAAAUCAUGAUUUUUUUACUAAAAAAAUCAAUGAUUUAAUCAUUGCCAACCCUGUGUGCAAGUAUAGAGAAAUAGUGUUAGUUAAAAGAGAGGAAGGGAAGGGGAUGGAGUUAACAGUCAUGGGUGCAAGGAUAAAGAAAGUGUUAAUGAAGCGUAGGAGGAGGAGAGGAUGGGAGGGCAUUCAAGAGAGGAAGGGACAAGAAUGGAAGGGAAGGGGAUAGAGUUAACAGUCAUGGGGUGCAAGGAUAGAGAAAUAGUGUUAGUUAAGUUUAGUUGGAGGAGAGAGAGGAAGGGACAGGAAUGGAAGGGAAGGGGAUGGAGUAUAGGAAGAGGAGAGGAAGGGACAAGAAUGGAAGGGAAGGGGAUGGAGUUAACAGUCAUGGGGUGCAAGGAUAGAGAAAUAGUGUUAGUUAAGUGUAGGAGGAGGAGGAGAGAGUGGGGCGUCAUUUAGGAGAGAGAGGAAAGGGCCGGCCAAGGAGUCUCACGGCGGAGGUGAUUGGCGUGGUUGGGAAGGUAGAGUGGAGGAGGAGGAGGAGCAGGAACAGUAGUCUCUCAUCUUAAUUCCUGCAAUACAGAACACAAUAUUAGUAAGGUAUAAGAACAGGCCAGGGUGGUAAGAGAAGGGAAACUGAGACUUGUGCUUUGUGAGAGAACUGCGUGAUUAGGGAAAGAGGGAGGGAGUUUGCAGUGAUGGGAUGAAGGGAUGGGAAGGAAUGAAGGCUUGUCAUGCAAAGGGAUGGGAAGGAAUGAAGGCUUCUGACAGGCAAAGGGAUGGGAAGGAAUGAAGGCUUCUGACAGGCAAAGGGAUGGGAAGGAAUGAAGGCUUCUGACAGGCAAAGGGAUGGGAAGGAAUGAAGGCUUCUGACAGGCAAAGGGAUGGGAAGGAAUGAAGGCUUCUGACAGGCAAAGGGAUGGGAAGGAAUGAAGGCUUCUGACAGGCAAAGGGAUGGGAAGGAAUGAAGGCUUCUGACAGGCAAAGGGAUGGGAAGGAAUGAAGGUUUCUGACAUGCAAGAGGAGAAUGGGGUAUGAUCAUAUUGGACUAGGUAUGAGAAAGGAGGGAUGAGAGAUGGAUGAGUAUGCAGUAAUGGGGCAAAGGGAUGAUAUUUGAUGCUUAAAAUAACUUGUCUCCACCCCUAGCUACAGGUUCACACAGUUUCAUCUCCUCGCUACGCAAUUCAACAAACUGUCCACCAAAAUCUUAACUCUACUGUUGUGCUUAAACCCCUGACUGUGGAUUUCCUACCAGAAGACAUCACCCAGCUACAGGAGUGGAGCAAAAAGUGGCUGCUACAAUGUGAUGAAGAAAAAUGUAAAGUCCUGCACCUUGGGAGGGGAUAUCCAGCACACCAAUACCACAUGGGAAACACUCCACUAUCCACCACAGAGGCAGAGAAAGACCUGGGAGUGUAUGUUACCAGGCUACCAGUGAAGGGAUAUCCAGCACACCAAUACCACAUGGGAAACACUCCACUAUCCACCACAGAGGCAGAGAAAGACCUGGGAGUGUAUGUUACCAGGCUACCAGUGAAGGGAUAUCCAGCACACCAAUACCACAUGGGAAACACUCCACUAUCCACCACAGAGGCAGAGAAAGACCUGGGAUUGUAUGUUACCAGGCUACCAGUGAAGGAGAAAUCCGUUCCAGUCACAGCGGACGGGUUAAAAAUAUUGAAUGCUCCUGGAAAUUCACAGUGUAAGGAAAGGUAAGGUAUUGAAUAAGGAGGAAAUGAGAGUAUGUUAGGUGGAGGACAGAAUGAGUACGCUGAGGAGCCAGAGGAUGAGGAAAGUAAGUUGGAAAGUUUGGUUUAGUCGGCGCAACAUCUGUGGUCAUAUGCCGGAGAGAGACAGAAGGGGAAGGAAUUAUAGGAGAAGGAAACAGACCCCAGGAGACAGGAAAAAGUUGGAAAGUUUGGUUUAGUCGGCGCAACAUCUGUGGUCAUAUGCCGGAGAGAGACAGAAGGGGAAGGAAUUAUAGGAGAAGGAAACAGACCCCAGGAGACAGGAAAAAGUUGGAAAGUUUGGUUUAGUGGGCGCAACAUCUGUGGUCAUAUGCCGGAGAGAGACAGAAGGGGAAGGAAUUAUAGGAGAAGGGAACAGACCCCAGGAGACGGGACACAACCCCCAAUUAAUACCUGGUACCCAUUCACUGCUGGGUGGACAGGGGCGUAGGGUAUCAGAAAAGCCGCCCAAGAAUGGAAAGAUGUUGAUAGAUGGGGAAGCU